rnacentral:rRNA from 1 species
CCCAGACUCCUACGGGAGGCAGCAGUGGGGGAUAUUGCACAAUGGGGGGAACCCUGAUGCAGCGACGCCGCGUGGGUGAAGGAGCGUUUCGGCGCGUAAAGCCCUAUCGGCAGGGAAGAAGGAGGACGGUACCUGACUAAGAAGCCCCGGCUAACUACGUGCCAGCAGCCGCGGUAAUACGUAGGGGGCAAGCGUUAUCCGGAUUUACUGGGUGUAAAGGGGGCGCAGACGGCAGCGCAAGCCAGGAGUGAAAGCCCGGGGCCCAACCCCGGGACUGCUCUUGGAACUGCGCGGCUGGAGUGCAGGAGGGGCAGGCGGAAUUCCUGGUGUAGCGGUGAAAUGCGUAGAUAUCAGGAGGAACACCGGUGGCGAAGGCGGCCUGCUGGACUGCAACUGACGUUGAGGCCCGAAAGCGUGGGGAGCAAACAGGAUUAGAUACCCUCGUAG